rnacentral:rRNA from 1 species
GACGAACGCUGGCGGCGUGCUUAACACAUGCAAGUCGAACGGAAAGGCCCUGCUUUUGUGGGGUGCUCGAGUGGCGAACGGGUGAGUAACACGUGAGUAACCUGCCCUUGACUUUGGGAUAACUUCAGGAAACUGGGGCUAAUACCGGAUAGGAGCUCCUGCUGAAUGGUGGGGGUUGGAAAGUUUCGGCGGUUGGGGAUGGACUCGCGGCUUAUCAGCUUGUUGGUGGGGUAGUGGCUUACCAAGGCUUAGACGGGUAGCCGGCCUGAGAGGGUGACCGGCCACAUUGCGACUGAGAUACGGCACAGACUCAUACGCGAGGCAAAGGUGGAGAGUAUUGUACAGUGGGCGGAAGCCUGAUGCAAUGACGCCGCGUGGGGUAAGACAGCAUGUGUGUUGUAAACCGCUGCCGUCUGAGACGAAGCGAGAGUGACGGUAAUUGGUAAAGAAGCACCGGCUAACUACGUG